rnacentral:rRNA from 1 species
UUGGAGGGCAAGUCUGGUGCCAGCAGCCGCGGUAAUUCCAGCUCCAAUAGCGUAUAUUAAAGUUGUUGCAGUUAAAAAGCUCGUAGUUGAAUUUCGGGGUCAGUAGGUUGGUCAUGCCACUGGUAUGUACUGGUCUCACUGAUUCCUCCUUCCUGAUGAGCCGUAAUGCCAUUAAUUUGGUGUUGCGAGGAAUCUGGACUGUUACUUUGAAAAAAUUAGAGUGUUUAAAGCAAGCUGACGCUUGAAUACAUUAGCAUGGAAUAAUGAAAUAGGACGUUCGAUCCUAUUUUGUUGGUUUCUAGGAUUGACGUAAUGAUUAAUAGGGAUAGUUGGGGGCAUUAGUAUUCUAUUGUCAGAGGUGAAAUUCUUGGAUUUAUUGAAGACUAACUACUGCGAAAGCAUUUGCCAAGGAUGUUUUCAUUAAUCAAGAACGAAAGUUAGGGGAUCGAAGACGAUCAGAUACCGUCGUAGUCUUAACCAUAAACUAUGCCGACUAGGGAUCGGAUGAUGUUAUUUUUAAUGACUUAUUCGGCGCCUUACGGGAAACCAAAGUGUUUGGGUUC